CCCUUAGAUGUUCUGGACCGCACGCGCGCUACACUGAUGCAUUCAACGAGUUCCUACCUUGGCCGAGAGGCCUGGGCAAUCUUUUGAACUUGCAUCGUGAUAGGGAUAGAUUAUUGCAAUUAUUAAUCUUGAACGAGGAAUUCCUAGUAAACGCAGAUCAUCAAUCUGCAUUGAUUACGUCCCUGCCCUUUGUACACACCGCCCGUCGCACCUACCGAUUGAAUGGUCCGGUGAAGCCUCGGGAUUGUGGUUAGUUUCCUUCAUUGGAAGUUAGCCGCGAGAACUUGUCUAAACCUUAUCAUUUAGAGGAAGGUGAAGUCGUAACA
rnacentral:rRNA from 1 species